GGCGGCGAGUGGCGAACGGGUGAGUAAUAUAUCGGAACGUACCCAGUAGCGGGGGAUAACUACUCGAAAGAGUAGCUAAUACCGCAUACGAUCUAUGGAUGAAAGCGGGGGACCGUAAGGCCUCGCGCGAUUGGAGCGGCCGAUAUCAGAUUAGGUAGUUGGUGGGGUAAAGGCUCACCAAGCCAACGAUCUGUAGCUGGUCUGAGAGGACGACCAGCCACACUGGAACUGAGACACGGUCCAGACUCC
rnacentral:rRNA from 1 species